rnacentral:rRNA from 1 species
GGUUAAAAAGCUCGUAGUUGGAUUUCUGCUUGGGGUGGCCGAUGUGCCUUCUGGGUUACAGCCGGUUCAGCCUGAGCAUCUUCUUGGGAAUCGUGUCUGCACUUGAUUGUGUGGCACGGGUUCCAGGACUUUUACUUUGAGGAAAUUAGAGUGUUUCAAGCAGGCGUCCGCCUUGAAUACGUUAGCAUGGAAUAAUGCGACAGGACCUCGGUCCAUUUUGUUGGUUUCUUGGGUUGAGGUAAUGAUUAACAGGGAUGGUUGGGGGCAUUCGUAUUUAACUGUCAGAGGUGAAACUCUUGGAUUUGUUAAAGACGAACUACUGCGAAAGCAUUUGCCAAGGAUGUUUUCAUUGAUCAAGAACGAAAGUUAGGGGAUCGAAGACGAUCAGAUACCGUCCUAGUCUUAAC